AAAGAAUCUUCCCUCUACUUGCUUUCACCUCUUAGAAGCUGUUAUGUUUUUUUUCAGCAUCUCAUGCACCAGCAUCAUACUGUGCCAGAAAGGAACUUUCACCUGUACGUCAACUUUCCUGGUCCUCAUUUCAGCAUGGGAGUGCCAACCAAACUCUUCUGGAAAGAGAGGAAACAGGAAAGACAAAGAGAAGACUGGGAGAUAGAUAAAAGAGUAUUGAGAUGGCCAGAUGAUCACUUGGCCCUGGAGAUCUGACAUAUGAAGAGAAUAGCAGGAUGAAGAUUUCUAUUUUGGACACGAGGAUCUCUCCUCCUGUGGGAUUCUCAGCAAAAGACCACUGCCUGUUGUACCACCUGCUGGAUGGAGCUGCUCUAGGGCAUCAUCUCCCGUAGUUUCCUUUUGUGCAGUUCUACUUUAAGUCUGAUGUAUUAUAUAUAUAUACACCAUAUGUGUUCCCACACAACAGCAAAUCAAUACGUAUAAUUACGGGUAAGCAACGUUUUACUUUGUGUGAAGACAAUUAGCCAGGUUGUUCCAGGAAGCAAUCUUUGUAGCUCAGGUGUGGCACAUGAAUAAGUUUUGCCCAAAUCCCAGGCAUGUGAUGUCUCCUGCAUUCAUGCAAGAUAUCCUGCAUUUCUUUCACUGGAAUGCCAAGUCACGUCUUCAAACAUCACCACCAGCACCAACCUACGAAGGUAAGAAUGACCCAGCAUAGCUGAAGACAACACAUCACAGCUGCUUCCCCAUACCGGGUGUUACAGAUCGAUAAACUAAAUUGUCUAAAUCUCCCAAUUUUGAAUGCAAAUUUCAUCCCUGGAAAUGCAUCAGAAGAUGUACAUUUUACAAUGACAGAGAGAAGCUUGGUGACAUCUUUGUUUGAAUGAGUCAUUUGUCAUUGAGUUGUGAUUCUGUUAAAAUAUCAGGCGAAGAUUUUGGAGUUGAUCACUUUCUUACAUUUUUUUUUUUUAGUUGUAAAUAAAGUGGCA
rnacentral:lncRNA from 1 species